GAUGAAGAACGUAGCGAAAUGCGAUAAGUAAUGUGAAUUGCAGAAUUCAGUGAAUCAUCGAAUCUUUGAACGCACCUUGCGCCCUUUGGCCAUUCCGAAGGGCAUGCCUGUUUGAGUAUCGUGAACACCUCAACUCUCAUGGUUUGCCAUGAUGAGCUUGGACUUUGGGGGUUUUGCUGGCCUUUGGUCGGCUCCUCUCAAACGGAUCAGCUUUCCAGUGUUUGGUGGCGUCACGGGUGUGAUAACUAUCUACGCCUGUGGUUUUCUGCCAGAUAACCUUCAGCGAUGGAGGUUCGCUGGGGCUCAUAAAUGUCUCUCUUCAGUGGAGACAGCUUUUUGGACGUUUGAUCUCAAAUCAGGUAGGACUACCCGCUGAACUUAAGCAUAUCAAUAAGCGGAGGA
rnacentral:misc_RNA from 1 species